rnacentral:lncRNA from 1 species
ACCUCCCAGAUUGGAGGCCGCUCCCCGUUUAACAGCAGCUAGCUGAUCGCCCCGGGAACGAGCUCGGGACUGCGGGGUCCCCCCGCGCUCCUCCCUCAGUGACAGCAGGAAGCUUAUCCUGUAUUGGCCCGGUAGGGCGGCGAAUCCACGCGCCCCGCCCCUCCCCGCCCCACGCCGCGCCUCCCCUCCAGUCCAGCCCCCAGAACCCCCUCACCUCGGCGUGGCCUUCGAACGCUCCCUCGAGGCCUCCCUCGGAGCCCGGCGAUCCCGCCGCUUCGCUCUCCGACCCCCCCCCCCCACGGGGGGGUUGUCCCUUCUUCGGGUCCCUGCCCCCGGCUAAGGGGGAAGCUCACUGAAGUCAACGAACGGCCGGCCCUACAGGGCCCAAGGGCCCGGAGCAUUGAAGAGUACUUUCAGAUCCAUUAUUUCAUUUGGCCCUUACAGUUCUCCUGUGAGUCACUGCUUUCUUGACAGAGAGGAAAACAAGACUUGGAGAGAAGAGGUAAGUGACUUGCCUAAAGGCCCAUUGGGAGUUAGCAAGAAAGCCAAGACUACAGCCCAUAUCUCCCAACUCCAAAGCCCAUCAUCUUCUUCCUGUACCCCUCUAUAAAGUCCAUUCUAGCUAAGAAGUUGCAGUCUGUAUCCAUAAAUAUCCAGGGAUAUCCAUAAAGGGAUGCCACACUUCCUGUUCCUUAGUCCAGACAAGCCAGUGAAUGAGUCAGCAUCAAAUGAGAGCCUUAGGAGAUUCAUACCUCCUUCCUACAACUUUCUACUCCAAAUUUAUACCCAUAUGACUCCAUGUAGCUAUUAUUCAUGGUGAAUUUUGGUUCUCUCAGACCCCUCAGUCCUUUUCUGAAGAUUAAAGCAGUGUAGUUCCCUAGCUUCUCUGGUUAUUUCCCUGCCAAAGAGUAUCAUCCUAUAAGUGUGUCUCUUCAACACCCUCACAAAAAGUUGAUGGGAAUGAGGAGAGGAAAAAGAAAUUUAAUUAGAUACAGGAGAAAUGACAAAAAUCAGGAAUAAUUUGUAAGAUUAGUGAACUCUUGAGUUUUUGUCCUUGAGUCUCAAGGGGGAAGAACUCAAAGGAAUUGAUCUCCAAGAGCCUUAAGCCACUCCCAGUUGGCUCAAUUCACUUUCCCUCUAUCCUCUUCUCUAGGAGCAGGUAUGAAUUCUUUCCUCACCCCGCUUCUUCUCCACCUCCCCACCCCUCAGAUAGACAUACCACUUCCUGUAUAGCCUGACUGAAGCCACUGUCAACUUCCUCCCCUAGCAGAGGAAGUGGGGAGCUGAACCAGGUGCAGCGAGAAGACACCAGGACCAUGGUAAGCCCUUCUUGGGAAGCCUGGCAUCUUUAGCAUCCCUCCUGAGACCUCACAGGACCUCCUGCCUCAUUCCUUAAGUUGAUCCAUAAGAUGACAUGACUAUACUGCCCAGUCCUCAGGCUCCAGCUUUCAUCCACCUUCCCACUAACCUC